UUAAGUUAUUAAGGGCGCACGGUGGAUGCCUUGGCACUAGAAGCCGAUGAAGGACGUUACUAACGACGAUAUGCUUUGGGGAGCUGUAAGUAAGCUUUGAUCCAGAGAUUUCCGAAUGGGGAAACCCAGCAUGAGUUAUGUCAUGUUAUCGAUAUGUGAAUACAUAGCAUAUCAGAAGGCACACCCGGAGAACUGAAACAUCUUAGUACCCGGAGGAAGAGAAAGAAAAUUCGAUUCCCUUAGUAGCGGCGAGCGAAACGGGAAGAGCCCAAACCAACAAGCUUGCUUGUUGGGGUUGUAGGACACUCUAUACGGAGUUACAAAGGACGACAUUAGACGAAUCAUCUGGAAAGAUGAAUCAAAGAAGGUAAUAAUCCUGUAGUCGAAAAUGUUGUCUCUCUUGAGUGGAUCCUGAGUACGACGGAGCACGUGAAAUUCCGUCGGAAUCUGGGAGGACCAUCUCCUAAGGCUAAAUACUCUCUAGUGACCGAUAGUGAACCAGUACCGUGAGGGAAAGGUGAAAAGCACCCCGGAAGGGGAGUGAAAUAGAACCUGAAACCGUGUGCUUACAAGUAGUCAGAGCCCGUUAAUGGGUGAUGGCGUGCCUUUUGUAGAAUGAACCGGCGAGUUACGAUUUGAUGCAAGGUUAAGCAGUAAAUGUGGAGCCGUAGCGAAAGCGAGUCUGAAUAGGGCGUUUAGUAUUUGGUCGUAGACCCGAAACCAGGUGAUCUACCCUUGGUCAGGUUGAAGUUCAGGUAACACUGAAUGGAGGACCGAACCGACUUACGUUGAAAAGUGAGCGGAUGAACUGAGGGUAGCGGAGAAAUUCCAAUCGAACCUGGAGAUAGCUGGUUCUCUCCGAAAUAGCUUUAGGGCUAGCCUCAAGUGAUGAUUAUUGGAGGUAGAGCACUGUUUGGACGAGGGGCCCCUCUCGGGUUACCGAAUUCAGACAAACUCCGAAUGCCAAUUAAUUUAACUUGGGAGUCAGAACAUGGGUGAUAAGGUCCGUGUUCGAAAGGGAAACAGCCCAGACCACCAGCUAAGGUCCCAAAAUAUAUGUUAAGUGGAAAAGGAUGUGGCGUUGCCCAGACAACUAGGAUGUUGGCUUAGAAGCAGCCAUCAUUUAAAGAGUGCGUAAUAGCUCACUAGUCGAGUGACACUGCGCCGAAAAUGUACCGGGGCUAAACAUAUUACCGAAGCUGUGGAUUGUCCUUUGGACAAUGGUAGGAGAGCGUUCUAAGGGCGUUGAAGCAUGAUCGUAAGGACAUGUGGAGCGCUUAGAAGUGAGAAUGCCGGUGUGAGUAGCGAAAGACGGGUGAGAAUCCCGUCCACCGAUUGACUAAGGUUUCCAGAGGAAGGCUCGUCCGCUCUGGGUUAGUCGGGUCCUAAGCUGAGGCCGACAGGCGUAGGCGAUGGAUAACAGGUUGAUAUUCCUGUACCACCUAUAAUCGUUUUAAUCGAUGGGGGGACGCAGUAGGAUAGGCGAAGCGUGCGAUUGGAUUGCACGUCUAAGCAGUAAGGCUGAGUAUUAGGCAAAUCCGGUACUCGUUAAGGCUGAGCUGUGAUGGGGAGAAGACAUUGUGUCUUCGAGUCGUUGAUUUCACACUGCCGAGAAAAGCCUCUAGAUAGAAAAUAGGUGCCCGUACCGCAAACCGACACAGGUAGUCAAGAUGAGAAUUCUAAGGUGAGCGAGCGAACUCUCGUUAAGGAACUCGGCAAAAUGACCCCGUAACUUCGGGAGAAGGGGUGCUCUUUAGGGUUAACGCCCAGAAGAGCCGCAGUGAAUAGGCCCAAGCGACUGUUUAUCAAAAACACAGGUCUCUGCUAAACCGUAAGGUGAUGUAUAGGGGCUGACGCCUGCCCGGUGCUGGAAGGUUAAGAGGAGUGGUUAGCUUCUGCGAAGCUACGAAUCGAAGCCCCAGUAAACGGCGGCCGUAACUAUAACGGUCCUAAGGUAGCGAAAUUCCUUGUCGGGUAAGUUCCGACCCGCACGAAAGGCGUAACGAUUUGGGCACUGUCUCAACGAGAGACUCGGUGAAAUCAUAGUACCUGUGAAGAUGCAGGUUACCCGCGACAGGACGGAAAGACCCCGUGGAGCUUUACUGUAGCCUGAUAUUGAAAUUCGGCACAGCUUGUACAGGAUAGGUAGGAGCCUUUGAAACGUGAGCGCUAGCUUACGUGGAGGCGCUGGUGGGAUACUACCCUAGCUGUGUUGGCUUUCUAACCCGCACCACUUAUCGUGGUGGGAGACAGUGUCAGGCGGGCAGUUUGACUGGGGCGGUCGCCUCCUAAAAGGUAACGGAGGCGCUCAAAGGUUCCCUCAGAAUGGUUGGAAAUCAUUCAUAGAGUGUAAAGGCAUAAGGGAGCUUGACUGCGAGACCUACAAGUCGAGCAGGGUCGAAAGACGGACUUAGUGAUCCGGUGGUUCCGCAUGGAAGGGCCAUCGCUCAACGGAUAAAAGCUACCCCGGGGAUAACAGGCUUAUCUCCCCCAAGAGUUCACAUCGACGGGGAGGUUUGGCACCUCGAUGUCGGCUCAUCGCAUCCUGGGGCUGUAGUCGGUCCCAAGGGUUGGGCUGUUCGCCCAUUAAAGCGGUACGCGAGCUGGGUUCAGAACGUCGUGAGACAGUUCGGUCCCUAUCCGUCGUGGGCGUAGGAAAUUUGAGAGGAGCUGUCCUUAGUACGAGAGGACCGGGAUGGAUAUACCUCUGGUGUACCAGUUGUCGUGCCAACGGCAUAGCUGGGUAGCUAUGUGUGGACGGGAUAAGUGCUGAAAGCAUCUAAGCAUGAAGCCCCCCUCAAGAUGAGAUUUCCCAACUUCGGUUAUAAGAUCCCUCAAAGAUGAUGAGGUUAAUAGGUUCGAGGUGGAAGCAUGGUGACAUGUGGAGCUGACGAAUACUAAUCGAUCGAAGACUUAAUCAA
rnacentral:rRNA from 1 species